UCACUGGUGUUAUGACAAACCAGAGUGUGGACCUAGCACUUGGGGAACUAUUGGCUCCUGCGGUGGCAUGAGACAAUCUCCCAUCAACAUUGAGCUCAAUAAAGUAGUUCAUGAUUCUAGUCUUGGACCUAUAUAUUUCAACGGCUAUGAAGAUCGUAAAAUUGUCAAGCAAAUGAAGAAUACAGGAUAUCAUCUUCAGAUAACUUUUAAUUCCAAAGCAACCAUCUCUGGUCCUGGCUUACCAGCA